UUGAAAAGAAAACAAAAUGAAAGAAAUUCAUUUUUAAUAAAUGUUUUCGACAAAUGGCUGCCGACCGGAGGGAGGGCAGUACAUCUU
rnacentral:sRNA from 1 species